AUUAUAUACUCGAUAGCGUGUUGGCAGAAGCUUAAUAGACAGCCUAAGUCUUGACGUCACAAAGACGGGCGGAGCUUAUACCGACUCCAAACAAUUUCGUUGAUAAUGGUAAAUGCCCAUAAGCAAUUUUUCAUUUAGUGUUUUCGUGGUUUAUGUUAUAAAAUAAGACUUUUCAGUUGAAUAUAUUGUUGUAGUAACGUACUAUUUAAGAGGUUUUUAUUAGUUUCUCACCAGGUUUUUAAGUUCUAGGAUUGCUUCAGAAUAGGUAUGUGCUUUGUACAAGACUGUAAACAUUACAGUUUAAAGCAUCCAUGUAAGUUUUUUCGGUUCCCAAAAAACAAGACCGAGAGGAAUAGAUGGAUUUCUCUCAUAAGUAGAAAAGAUAGAGAUCCAAGUGAAUUUGCAAAAGUGUGCGAUUGUCACUAUUUAAAUAAAGAACAAAAGAAUGGGU